rnacentral:rRNA from 1 species
AGCCCAACAGCUAGCCCAACAAUACAACUUCAACCCCUCCCCAUUUAUACCCCUAAAUACACAAGCACUCACACAACAAACCAUUUUUCCCAUCUAGUACGGGCG